UACAGAGGUCUCAAGCGUUGUUCGGAUUCAUUGGGCGUAAAGGGUGCGUAGGCGGCGCGGUAAGUCGGGUGUGAAAUCUCGGGGCUUACUCCGAAACUGCAUUCGAUACUACCGUGCUUGAGGACUGGAGAGGAGACUGGAAUUCCUGGUGUAGCAGUGAAAUGCGUAGAUAUCAGGAGGAACACCGAUGGCGAAGGCAGGUCUCUGGGCUGACACUGACGCUCAUGCACGAAAGCGUGGGGGAGCAAACAGG
rnacentral:rRNA from 1 species